rnacentral:rRNA from 1 species
AUCUGGUUGAUCCUGCCAGUUAUUUUUAUGUGGUUGAUCCUGCCAGUAGUCAUACUCUCGUCUCAAAGAUUAAGCCAGGCAUGUGUAAGUAUAAAUUUUUUACUUUGAAAGUGCGAAUGGCUCAUUAUAUCAGUUAUAGUUUAUUAGAUGAAAAGUACUGCUUGGAUACCGGUAGUAAUUGUAGAGUUAAUACAUGAUCAAUUCCUCGUCUUUGAAGAGGUGUUUUUAUUAGAAUGAAACCCAAUAGUCUCUGUCUAUUGGGGAGUAAUAAUACCUUGUCAUAUCGCAUUUUUAUGUAGAGAUGUUUUUUUAAGUUUCUGCCCUAUCAUCUUUCCAUGGUAGUGGAUUGGACUACCAUGGCAGUAACGGGGAACGAAGAAUUUGGGGUCGAUUUCUGAGAAGGAGCCUGAUAAAAGGCUACCACAUCCAAGGAAGGCAGCAGGCGCGUAAAUUACCCCAUCCUGACACAGGGAGGGAGUGACAAUAAAUCACAAUGCGGAACAUCUGUUUUGCAAUUGGAUUGAGAACAACGCACAACACUUAUCUAUAAACAAUUGGAGGGGAAGUCUGGUGCCACCACCCCCGGCAAUUCCACCUCCCCUAGCGUAUAUUAACGUUGUUGCAGUUAAAAAAAAUCACCUCAGAGCUUUUUAACUGCAACAACG